GACGAACGCUGGCGGCAUGCCUAAUACAUGCAAGUCGAGCGAACAGAUGAAGUGCUUGCACUUCUGACGUUAGCGGCGAACGGGUGAGUAACACGUAAGGAAUCUACCUAUAAGCGGGGGAUAACAUUCGGAAACGGGUGCUAAUACCGCAUAAUAUCUUCUUCCGCAUGGAAGAAGAUUGAAAGACGGCUCUGCUGUCACUUAUAGAUGACCUUGCGGUGCAUUAGUUAGUUGGUGGGGUAACGGCCUACCAAGACGAUGAUGCAUAGCCGACCGGGAAGGGGGAUGGGCCACAUUGGGACGGGAACACGGCCCAAACUCCUACGGGAGGCAGCAGUAGGGAAUCGUCCGCAAUGGGCGAAAGCCUGACGGAGCAAUGCCGCGUGAGUGAAGAAGGCCUUCGGGUCGUAAAACUCUGUUAUAAGAGAAGGACAAAUUGUAGAGUAACUGCUACAGUCUUGACGGUAUCUUAUCAGAAAGCCACGGCUAACUACGUGCCAGCCGCCGCCGUAAAAC
rnacentral:rRNA from 1 species